AUGAGAGCUGGGAGGCAUCCCGUAGUAGAAUUACGGAAAUUCUACUAAAACGAAGAUAUGGUGUUUUUGAGAGUGAAUGUUGCCAUUGCAGAAAGGCUCCAGCCAUCAUCAAAUGCGAAGAGUGUGGCUCAAAGAAACACUUGUGUGCCAGCUGUGAUGUAACUGUUCAUCAUAGCCACCCUUUGCACGAUAGACUGGGUGUUAUUGAUGGUCACUAUAAAGCCAUCCCACCAACAGUAGCAUUCAGUACAUCAUGUGACAAGCUGAUCGACAUUGMUAAGACUUAGAGAUGUCUACCUUCUGGUGAGGUAUUUUGUCCCGACUGUAACAUCAUUUGCCAGCUUGUUAAUGAAAGUGAAAGUGGCAAUGCAAUUUUUGUUUCAAUCAAAGGGAGGUUUGACAUAAUGCAUACCAGGUAUGCAUGCAAAAAUUGCAAGAAGGAAUAUCCAAGCUCAUCCCUAGAUGUAGUUCUUCAACUUGGAUAUUGGCCAGGAAGCAUCAAAAACGUCAAUUAUAUUUUCGACCCAAAUUUGUUUGUAUUAUGGCACGAACUCAAGAGCUUAGUUCCUGGCAUAUCAGAAGCCUCUUUUCUGAAGUCAUUAGAACAAUCUUCCAAACAUAAUGGACGGGUAUGUCGAU